rnacentral:lncRNA from 1 species
CAGGGAUGUCAUAUUUAGUGUACUAUUUUGCCUUUUCUGUAGGAUUGAGUGUGUCCGUUGCAUUUAGUUAAGGCAAGUAUUUGGAAGAAAUAAGGGGCCAUUCCUUCCCUAUGAGCUAUAGAAAAAAGAGCACAUAGAAGAACCAAAGUGGAGGGAUUUAGAAGAUCCUUCUAGCAAGACUAACCCAGCAGACAGCCAUGGAGUUUCCCAGAGCCUGCUGGGAGCACUGUGACCAAAGGCAUACUUGGGGAACAGGGCUGGUGGAAGCUGUUGGGACAACUCUAUAGCACACGUGCUGGGGCACAGAUAGACAAGUGGAAAAUCGAAGAGGAAGGUUUUGAAGAGAGAAGAGGCAUCACCUGGGGUAUACUCCAGGUUUCAAGUCCUGCUGCAGUUUCCAGAUGUGCUGGCCAGCACAUACCUUCCUUAAACAGUAAUGGUGGACAGUUACUGUAAAAUGAACUCUCUGAAAGACCUCAGCCCUUUGGUGACUGCAGGAAAUAGCCCAUGUCUUUUUCAACAGGUAGAAGGACUUCACCAAAAUUAAGAAGUCUCAUCACCUUUAAAGAUAAAGGAGAAAAAAAAAAAAAAAGCAUUUGAUUCAUACUCCCAUUAUGUAAGUGAUGUUGGUA